rnacentral:rRNA from 1 species
GACGGAGGGUGCAAGCGUUGCUCGGAAUCAUUGGGCGUAAAGGGUGCGUAGGCGGCUUUUUAAGUCUGACGUGAAAGCCCAGGCUUAGCCUUGGAAGUGCGCCAGAAACUGGAAGGCUAGAGUGCCGGAGGGGAGAGUGGAAUUCCUGGUGUAGCGGUGAAAUGCGUAGAUAUCAGGAGGAAUACCGGUGGCGAAAGCGACUCUCUGGACGGUAACUGACGCUGAGGCACGAAAGCGUGGGGAGCGAACAGG